GCCCUUCCCAAUGCGCGGCAAACUCCCUAUAUUCGAUCCGUCAGCUUGUCUGACUAUGGCGAUAAACGGCCGAUGAAAUAAGCCAUUCGGACCCGGGGGCGGUACCCGGCGCCUCCACCAUAAGCUGCUGUUCUGCGGCAGUUUUUGAUGGGGGCGAAAUAGGAUCGACGAGGGUGUAAAUAUCGGACUUUUGCCCGGCAUAGUACCACCGUUAUCGGGCUAAACCUGUAGUUGCAAACGACAACUAUGCUGAGGCACGUCUCGCUGCUUAAUGCAGUGCGAUAGUCUCGAAUCAAGCCCUAGAGGUUAGCACUUCUAGGCGGGGCUCGGAGGCGCCUGGCAACAGAAGCCUCCACU
rnacentral:tmRNA from 1 species